UGUAGGAUGAACGCUGGCGGCGUGCCUAAUACAUGCAAGUCGAGCGAACAGAUAAGGAGCUUGCUCCUUUGACGUUAGCGGCGGACGGGUGAGUAACACGUGGAUAACCUACCUAUAAGACUGGGAUAACUUCGGGAAACCGGAGCUAAUACCGGAUAACAUAUUGAACCGCAUGGUUCAAUAGUGAAAGGCGGCUUUGCUGUCACUUAUAGAUGGAUCCGCGCCGUAUUAGCUAGUUGGUAAGGUAACGGCUUACCAAGGCAACGAUACGUAGCCGACCUGAGAGGGUGAUCGGCCACACUGGAACUGAGACACGGUCCAGACUCCUACGGGAGGCAGCAGUAGGGAAUCUUCCGCAAUGGGCGAAAGCCUGACGGAGCAACGCCGCGUGAGUGAUGAAGGUCUUCGGAUCGUAAAACUCUGUUAUCAGGGAAGAACAAAUGUGUAAGUAACUGUGCACAUCUUGACGGUACCUGAUCAGAAAGCCACGGCUAACUACGUGCCAGCAGCCCGCGGUAAUACGUAGGUGGCAAGCGUUAUCCGGAAUUAUUGGGCGUAAAGCGCGCGUAGGCGGUUUUUUAAGUCUGAUGUGAAAGCCCACGGCUCAACCGUGGAGGGUCAUUGGAAACUGGAAAACUUGAGUGCAGAAGAGGAAAGUGGAAUUCCAUGUGUAGCGGUGAAAUGCGCAGAGAUAUGGAGGAACACCAGUGGCGAAGGCGACUUUCUGGUCUGUAACUGACGCUGAUGUGCGAAAGCGUGGGGAUCAAACAGGAUUAGAUACCCUGGUAGUCCACGCCGUAAACGAUGAGUGCUAAGUGUUAGGGGGUUUCCGCCCCUUAGUGCUGCAGCUAACGCAUUAAGCACUCCGCCUGGGGAGUACGACCGCAAGGUUGAAACUCAAAGGAAUUGACGGGGACCCGCACAAGCGGUGGAGCAUGUGGUUUAAUUCGAAGCAACGCGAAGAACCUUACCAAAUCUUGACAUCCUUUGACCGCUCUAGAGAUAGAGUUUUCCCCUUCGGGGGACAAAGUGACAGGUGGUGCAUGGUUGUCGUCAGCUCGUGUCGUGAGAUGUUGGGUUAAGUCCCGCAACGAGCGCAACCCUUAAGCUUAGUUGCCAUCAUUAAGUUGGGCACUCUAAGUUGACUGCCGGUGACAAACCGGAGGAAGGUGGGGAUGACGUCAAAUCAUCAUGCCCCUUAUGAUUUGGGCUACACACGUGCUACAAUGGACAAUACAAAGGGCAGCUAAACCGCGAGGUCAAGCAAAUCCCAUAAAGUUGUUCUCAGUUCGGAUUGUAGUCUGCAACUCGACUACAUGAAGCUGGAAUCGCUAGUAAUCGUAGAUCAGCAUGCUACGGUGAAUACGUUCCCGGGUCUUGUACACACCGCCCGUCACACCACGAGAGUUUGUAACACCCGAAGCCGGUGGAGUAACCAUUUAUGGAGCUAGCCGUCGAAGUGAC
rnacentral:rRNA from 1 species